GAAUAGGGCGUCAAGUUCGUUGUAUUAGACCCGAAACCUAGUGAUCUAGCCAUGAGCAGGUUGAAGGUGAGGUAACACUCACUGGAGGACCGAACGGGUGCCUGUUGAAAAAGGCUCCGAUGACUUGUGGUUAGGGGUGAAAGGCCAAUCAAACUGGGAAAUAGCUGGUUCUCCGCGAAAGAUAUUUAGGUAUCGCCUCGGAUGAAUGCCUCAGGGGGUAGAGCACUGGAUGGGCUAGGGGGACUUACCGUCUUACCAAACCCAACCAAACUCCGAAUACCUGAGAGCAAUAUCCGGGAGUCACACGGCGGGUGCUAACGUCCGUCGUGGAGAGGGAAACAACCCGGACCUACAGCUAAGGCCCCUAAUUCGUGGCUAAGUGGGAAAGGAUGUGGAAAUCCCAAAACAACCAGGAGGUUGGCUUAGAAGCAGCCAUCCUUUAAAGAAAGCGUAACAGCUCACUGGUCUAAAUAAGGGUUUCUGCGCCGAAGAUGUAACGGGGCUCAAGCCACGAGCCGAAGCUUAGGGUGUGAUCCGCAAGGGUCACG
rnacentral:rRNA from 1 species